GGAGGAUGCAAGCAACUACGGCCAGUCAACUCAGUCCCAAGGGAGGUUAUGGAGCAAAUCCACCUGGAAGAUAUUUUGAAGCACAUGGAAGACAAGAAGGAAAAACUACCAGACAAAAUCACUGCUGAGCUGGACCACAGAGAAGAAAGUCUCUAGGGAAGCAAGAGCACAAGCAGAAUUGGAGCUAUCUGGGAACCUUUUCAUUCAGUUCACGAGAGGGAGAACUGGUUGCAUAACUGUGCUGACCUAAAAAUGCUUUCCAGAUUCUUCAGUUAAAGCACAGGAAGAAGCAGAAAGCUUCAAGUUACCCAGCCUGGUACCUGGAUGCUGACAAAAAAAAAAACAAAACAGUGCAUCAAUGAUCACAGGCAGAAAGGCAGCUUUGCUUUGCAGUCUGAAUGUAUAAAGGAAAAAA